rnacentral:lncRNA from 1 species
GCACCUGCAUUGUGCUAUGGUAUGCACAUGACAUGAACUAUUUAAAAUUAGAGCUGAAAGUUUGUAUUUUCUUUGAAUGAUGAUAAGAUAGAUAAUGAUUUAUGCUUGUUUAUUGGCUAUGAUUCUGAUGUGAAUAUGAAUUUCAAUUGAAUUUAUGAAUGAAGUUGGAAUGUGUUUAAAGUGGUGGAUGUUUGAUUUGUUUCUUUGAUUUUCAUGGUGAGUUGUUAUGGCAUGUGAAAUUUAAAUGGCUAAUGUAUGAUCAUGACUUAAAUUUAUGGGUUUGAGAUCAAGUUUUGAAGUGUGGUUUGUAUUUUUGUGAUGAUUCUGACUUCCAUACUUGAGCCUUGAACGCAUUGCUAGUUUUUUUUGCUGAAGUGUAUUGGUGAUGAAUUGUAUGUUUAUCACCUUGAUGUGAAUUUGUUCUUUAGUAUGCUUUUGAUAGAUUAUGAUGGGUUGUGCAUAACUUGAC